GCAGGUGUCCCCUUCCUCCCUCACUGUUGCACGUGUAUCCCUUCCGAAGAUGCAUACUCAGUCGAACUCCUUCCCCAAACAGAGGAAGAUGGGUUUUGGUCAAUGGUAAAUAAGUAGCUAUGCUCCCCUACUAAAACCUCCAAACAAGCCCUCGAAGUACAAAGAUAACAGGGCUAGAAAGGUGGCUCGGCAGUUAAAGGCACUAGCUUCAAUGCCUACCAAC
rnacentral:sRNA from 1 species